AACAGGAGGGAAAAAGUGAUCAGAAAAUGGCGCAUGAGGUUUCUCAAACAAGAGUGAAGCUCCCAAUACACAACUAUGAAUCCAUUCUUGAAGAAGCAGUUGCACAUACUGACUAUCCCUCCUCCACAAACAAGCUAUAUGAUCAGCUCUACUCCGGAAUGUUCUUAAACCAAAUGAAAAAGGGCCCCUUCUUCAUUGAUGGCUCCUUCACCGAAUCUUGACCAAGCAACAAAUCCUUUUCCAAUGAUAAAUUCGGAUGAAGCAAGUCCAUCAUGCAGUGCCUUUCCUCAAAGCUAUUGUGGUUUCCAACCAAAUCAAUUCUAAAUAACAAUCAUAUUAUAAUAGUGUUAUUUCAGUCAUUUUGUUAUGUUUUUAGGACAUCUUUAGUGUUUUCAUCUUAUGUAUCUUUAAGUCAUGAGACCUAAUAAAUUAAACAAGGUUAUGCACCAACAAGUUUUUCAACUUGUAUUUUUGGUGAUUCAUAUACCUUAUGAAGUGAUGAAGGUUAAUAUGUUAAAAGGUGUAAGAUUAAGGAACUAAAAGGUGAAAAGUAUAAGAAUAAUAGUGAAAUUCAAUGUCAUGUUCUCUCUUGGAGUUGUAUAAAAAGGGUGCUCCUCUCAUUUGAACACAAACAAAAAUUGAGUUCUCUCAAUCUCCCUUUAAUUUCCAAAGUUGUUUCUUUCUAAGUUUUUGUGGUGGAGUUCAGGUUUAAUUUAGUUUAUCUUAAUAGAAGAGUUGUGUCUCUCUUGCUAUUUUUACGUCGUUGUAUUCUAAGAAAGAGUCAUUGUUCAAAUAUUUGAAACUUGAGUAAAUGAGA